GCUUCCGCCUCCGGUUCAACCCGGUUCUCCUCAUCGCAUACGGUUCGACCCGAUUCAUCAACGGCCCGCUCCGUCCGUAAGAGAUCAAGUGGCUUUAACGCCGGCGAAAUACUCUCCGCCGAUUGAUUAUUACCGCUGGUAGAACAGUCUGCGUUGUAAUUCGACAUCAUAUUAUAUAUAUUGCCGCAUAGCUUCUUCAUUUGGUUUAACUCUUUGUUGAGCUGUAAAUUCUCAAUCCUUAACCGUUCGUUUUGUCCUAAAAGCUCUGCUGUGCUCCCUGCAGAUGAAUUCGACGUCACUACUUGCUCUUCACAUGAAUCCGUGGUAGAUACAGCCAGCGGUGGUUGAGCAGGCGGAGGUGGAGGCGGAGCAACUACAGUCACCACCGCUGUUGUAGCUGCGCAAGGAGUAGCAACAAUCGGCGUCGCGACCUUCCGACGCUGGAUAUCAAUUAAGAGAUUUUUUUCACCUCUCCGGAAGGAGUCGUUUCCGAAUUCCCAUCGAUCAGGUACGACUUUCCGAAAUCCCUGCAAAAAUGGAAGAAAAAGUUAGUAAUUCUUACCAUUCACCAAAAACAACUGAUUUUCAAUUAUAGAGGAACUUACAUAGGUGUUGAGCUGCCUAACGAAGCUAGAGAAAUUGUUAUGCUUAAAAUACUUAGGAAGCAAAUCUCUAGCAAACUCGGUAGGAUUCCAGACGAUGAAAGUAGAUCCGUCUUCGUUCCAAGAGAUGACGUCAUCAAUGGAUUGAUCCUCGAUGAGCUGGUAAGUCUUUGUUAAAAACGGUGUCGGUACAGACCUCGGCAUUUCACCAGCCGCCGGCGCCUCUCCUCUAUUCCGGUCUGGCUGUGGAGUCAUAUUUUCUUACCUGAAACACUAAUUAAUUAACCCUGUAUUGAAUUCAACUCAGAAACCAUUUAAUUUCCCUGCAAAUUAAGCAACCAAAAAAAAUAAUACUUUACACCAAAACUAAAACUACGUACUUGAGUGAAGAUAGAUGAUGCUACUCUGGCAGAUCUGGGGCCAAAACUGGAGGGAGGAAGAAAGAGGUCCGUCGGAAUUAUUGGUAAUUCUAGAAUUUUCCGGCGACACAUAGAGGGGGGGAAGGUGGGUUGGGCAAUGGGAGAGGGGGGACUAUAAUUGGAAAAUUCAGAAAGGAAGAAAUGGAGAUAAAGGUGAAGUAUUUUAUUAAAAAAGAAACAAAGAGAAGCUACGUAACGGACAGCUUUACCAAAGUAGAAUUAAAAAUGGAAAAAAAACUGGUAGCCAUACUUAUUGCCAUUCGAGAAGUUUCAGUUGAUUCUUAUACGUGGCACCUGAUGAGAGGCUAUAGGAUAUAUCCUACGUACGCACAGUGAAUAUGGAGUUGUUGAUGUAUUUGAGUUAAAUCUAAAUUUUUCGUAAUACAAACAGUAAUACAAUAUGGAGUCGUUGUUCUUUUGUUUAUUACAAAAAAAACAUUAUUUUAAUUUAUUUUGAUUAUUACAGAAGUUAUUAUGAGUGAAUCAAUAUAUAAAGGAAAAUUUUAAUUCAUUCUAUAUGACAUGUCUGAAAAAAGAAAUUUUUAAUUCAUUCUAUGUGGCAUGUCUAGAAAGUCUUCAUUAUCAUUUAUUUUUUUGUGAUUUUUUUAAUUAUUUUUUUAUUUUAAAAAAUUAAAAAUUCACUUAAUAUUAUACAUAACAUUAAAGAAAGUCAUAUUAAAUAACUUUCAUCAUCAAUAUUAUUAAAUUUUUCUUAUUUAUGUGUUAUGAAAAAAAAUUAAAAAUCACUCCUUAAAACUCUCUUAAUCAUGUUAAAUAUGUAAGAAAAAAUUAAAAAUUAUUUGUUAAAGCUCAAAAAUUAAUAAUGUAUGCAUAUAUAUAUAUAUAUAUAUAUACACACACACACUCUCUAAUAAGAGGAAAUGGGCAGAGAAGCAUGCAGGUCUUCGUCAACAUGCCUGUUUCUCCCUGCCUACUUCAUCAGUUGCUCACUCCUUGAUUUUACUAUAUAUAUAUAUACACACACUCUCUAAUAAGAGGAAAUGGGCAGAGAAGCAUGCAGGUCUUCGUCAACAUGCCUGUUUCUCCCUGCCUACUUCAUCAGUUGCUCACUCCUUGAUUUUACUAUAUCAUCUUUAAUUAAUAGCUUAAGUCAUCGACAUACACUUAAAUUUGUCUUUAAAUUCACUUAAACCCCUCAACUAAGGGUUGUACCUAUUGAACACUUAUACUGUAUAAAAAAUUAUUCCUAUUAGGCACAUUUUGUUAAUUAGCAACAAAUAUGAAGUGUGUAUAACACUUGUCGUGUCAACUAAUUAAAAUGUGACACGUGUUAAUGGGCCCCACAAUAAUUAUCAAAAAAAAAAUUCAAUUAAAUUAAAAAGGCAAAAUGACCUUCUGAAUCCUUGUACUAUAUCGGUUUUGUAAGUUGAUUACUUCUACUUAUAUAUUUGUCAUCUGAACCCACUAAAAAGCAACAUUUUAAAUUCUUUUUUGAUGAGUGUAACACAUUCUUCCCACGUGAGCUACCACGUCAGCUGCCACUUCUGCUCAUCUGUCAUGUCAUCUGUCACGUCAUUUAAAAAAAAAAAGUAUUACAUUAAACUCCAAGUUAUUUUUAAAAUGCUAAAUAACAAAUUAAAUAUUAAAAUUAAUUUAAUUAGAUAAGAAAAAUUUAUAAUUGUAGAAAAAUUUGAAUAAUCAUGUUUUUAUUUUAGCUCACAUUUUAAUUUUAAUAUUAUUUUUAUUAAAAAUAUUUUUAAAGUAUUGUUAAAUUUUUAAAAAAUAUUUUAAAAUUUUUAAAAGUAUUUUAAAAUUAAAAAACAUGGAGGGAAAAAAAGAACUCUUUUUUAAUUAUUUUUUAAUUUUAAUAUUAUUUUUAUUAAAAAUAUUUUUAAAGUAUUGUUAAAUUUUUAAAAAAUAUUUUAAAAUUUUUAAAAGUAUUUUAAAAUUAAAAAACAUGGAGGGAAAAAAAGAACUCUUUUUUAAUUAUUUUUUAAUUUUAAUAUUAUUUUUAUUAAAAAUAUUUUUAAAGUAUUGUUAAAUUUUUAAAAAAUAUUUUAAAAUUUUUAAAAGUAUUUUAAAAUUAAAAAACAUGGAGGGAAAAAAAGAACUCUUUUUUAAUUAUUUUUUAAUUUUAAUAUUAUUUUUAUUAAAAAUAUUUUUAAAGUAUUGUUAAAUUUUUAAAAAAUAUUUUAAAAUUUUUAAAAGUAUUUUAAAAUUAAAAAACAUGGAGGGAAAAAAAGAACUCUUUUUUAAUUAUUUUUUAAUUUUAAUAUUAUUUUUAUUAAAAAUAUUUUUAAAGUAUUGUUAAAUUUUUAAAAAAUAUUUUAAAAUUUUUAAAAGGAUUUUAAAAUUAAAAAACAUGGAGGGAAAAAAAGAACUCUUUUUUAAUUAUUUUUUAAUUUUAAUAUUAUUUUUAUUAAUUUUUUAUUAUUUUAAUGUAAAAUUGACUAAAAAUUGACUUCACUCGCACCUCAGGCGAGUGGCUACACUCUCUUUAUGCUAGUCAUCAUUUCAAUGAACAUAGAUAAGGUUAACGGUUCAAGGGUUCAGAUAAUAAAAAUAUAAGUAGAAAUGUCAACUAACAAAAUCAACAUCGUACAAGGAUUCAGAAGAUAUUUUAUCAAUUAAAAAAAAACAAAUCUAAUCUCUACCCUCGCCGCCCCAGCCCUCACCCCAACCCCCAACCCUCACCCCUACCCCUACCCCUACCCCUUCUUCUUCCCCAUUUCUUUUACAACUUAAUCUCCAUUAUUUUAUACUAACUGAUCUGUGUAUCUCCAUUAUUUUAUACUAACUGAUCUGUGUUGUUUUUUACAACGUUUUUCUUUCAUUUGAGCAGAGUGAAAAUCAGCCUCUGUACAUGCCUAACUAGUAGUUGGCUGUUAAUUGUAAAUAGUAGUACCAUUUACUCGUUACUCAGAAUCUGCAAUGUCUUCUUUGGCUGCGCUCAGUUCUAGCCUCUUCAAUGGAGGAGCUUCCACUUGGAAAUAUCAGGUCAACAUUAUUAUACCUCAGUUUUUCAAUCCAGAUUUUGUAUUGUUUUUUUCCUAAAAUUAGUUGGGAAAAAUCCAGGCUUUAUGAAUUUUUAUAUAAUAAUCUUUUCGUUUCGUUUUAGUUGGCCUCUUUCUAAAAAUAUGAGGAGUUUACUAUGUUCUUCUAAUACUAUUUUUAAUAUUAAAUGACUAAACAAAGUAUAUUUACUCAAAUUUAAAUUUUUAAAAUAUAAUUAAUAAGAUUAAUUUAGUAAAAUAAAAUUUCUAAUUAAUAUCUUUUUAGUGGGUGUGUCAAGUCAAUAAAGAUCAACUAAUAUAAAAUAGAGGAAAUAAUUCAACUGAAAAUUAGCUUAGCUUGCUGUUUGUUUUACUGCUUUGUUGGAGGAGAUGAAUGUGUCUAAGGUUGGGAAGCUCAGACUUAGAGUUACUUCAAUGCGGCGGCGGCGUCAUCACCAGCGCAAAUACAAGCUUUGCAGAUAAUAAAGCUAAUAAAUUGGACAAUUGUAGGGUGAGGGUUGUGAAGAAGAUAAUGAAAG
rnacentral:lncRNA from 1 species